rnacentral:rRNA from 1 species
UACGUAGGGGGCGAGCGUUGUCCGGAAUCAUUGGGCGUAAAGCGCGUGUAGGCGGUUCGGUAAGUCUGCUGUGAAAGUCCAGGGCUCAACCCUGGGAUGGCGGUGGAUACUGCCGAACUAGAGUGCGGAAGAGGCGAGUGGAAUUCCCGGUGUAGCGGUGAAAUGCGCAGAUAUCGGGAGGAACACCAAUUGCGAAGGCAGCUCGCUGGGACGUUACUGACGCUGAGACGCGAAAGCGUGGGGAGCAAACAGG